GUCGAGCGCUUCCCUUCGGGGAGGAGCGGCGGACGGGUUAGUAACGCGUGGGAACAUACCCUUCUCUAAGGAAUAGCCUCGGGAAACUGAGAGUAAUACCUUAUACGCCCUUCGGGGGAAAGAUUUAUCGGAGAGGGAUUGGCCCGCGUUAGAUUAGAUAGUUGGUGGGGUAACGGCCUACCAAGUCUACGAUCUAUAGCUGGUUUUAGAGGAUGAUCAGCAACACUGGGACUGAGACACGGCCCAGACUCCUACGGGAGGCAGCAGUGGGGAAUCUUGGACAAUGGGCGCAAGCCUGAUCCAGCCAUGCCGCGUGAGUGAUGAAGGCCUUAGGGUCGUAAAGCUCUUUCACCAGGGAUGAUAAUGACAGUACCUGGAAAAGAAACCCCGGCUAACUCCGUGCCAGCAGCCGCGGUAAUACGGAGGGGGUUAGCGUUGUUCGGAAUUACUGGGCGUAAAGCGUACGUAGGCGGAUUAGUAAGUUAGGGGUGAAAUCCCGAGGCUCAACCUCGGAACUGCCUCUAAAACUGCUAGUCUUGAGUUCGAGAGAGGUGAGUGGAAUUCCGAGUGUAGAGGUGAAAUUCG
rnacentral:rRNA from 1 species